UGUGCUGGCCUUUGAACAUGGUCAGAAAAGAGGCUCAAACAAAGCUUGAGCGAAGUUGUCGAAUCAUAAAUAUUUACAUAACUUGCUCGCUCCUGCUCAUUUUGAUUACGGUAGUGUUCAACAUGUUGUGUUUUAGUAGUCAGAGGGACUUCUUUAUUAAUAUCCAAAUUUUUGAGGAGUAUUUUGGCGAAUUGUCGCACGUUUUUAAUGGUUUAUAUUUCACUGGUUUCCCGUAUUUGUGCUACCACGGCGCAAGACUUUGUUAUGUUUUUGUUUACGCAAUACUACAAAUACAGUUGCAGUUCUCACUAAUUGAAGAAUAUUUGUUACAAGUGUAUGAGAUUGAUUGUCUGAAGAGUUGGAGGUAUUUACGGGACACUCGCUACCAGCAAGAAAUGGGAAAAUCGUUACGCCUUUGUAUCACACACCACAAUGCUUUAAAAAAGUUCGUUAAAAUGAUUAAUGAUAUGUCACUGAUAUGCAUGCCGUUCUGUUUAGUACUUGGCGUUUUAAUUCUUAUUAGCUGUUUAGCGUUCGUCAUAAACUUUGGGGACACUUUAACUAUCUUUGUCAAACUACGGAUACUCAUAUUUGUCGUUUCUUGUUUGUGCGUCUUGAGUGUGUUUUGCUGGAGUGGACAACAACUGACAGAUGUGAGCAGCUACAUUUUUUUGACUUUGGCCCGAGCUCCCUGGUAUUACUGGAGACUCGAAAACAUUAAAAUUCUUUUGACGUUUUCAACGAAUUGUACCAAAAAUGAUAGUAUUGUUU